CUUUUGAAGCAGUGCCAGAAGUUGUCUUUCGUGACUGGUGUUAGGAGAUGUGGCAAAAAGUAUAGUCAAUCCUGCUGCUACCUGCCACCAGUGGAAAGCAAACUCAUAAGAAUAUUAUUCCUUGUUCACCAGGUCUGGCAUGUGAAACUUCUGGCUGUUUGGCAAGGAAAAAUGGUCAUGAAAAAUAAAUUUCUUGAGUGAAUUUGAGGCAUCUGGGCAUCCAUGCCAGCACAACUUCAGACACUUCAGCAACAGAAUUUUCAGAAUUGCUUGAGAAAGAGCAAAAACAGUGGACAGGGUCAUGCUAUGUGGUUCCCUCUGGCCUGUUGAUCACUAUGAGGUCUGGGCUGGCCUUUAACUCACAGUGAUCCUCCUGCCUCUGCCUCCCAAUGCUGGAAACACAGGUGUACCACCAUGCCUGUGUUCAUCUCCUUGUAGAAUCUACAGAGAUGGAUUGUGAUCUGAAGAAUGGAUCCAGGCAGCUACGUUUUUGCUGACAGUACCAACACCUUCAAGCCACUAUGCUAACCAUCACCACCUUGUUUUUGCAUCCAAACAUACAAAGUGGUUAGCUUUUAAACAACACAAUUUAUGGGCAGACAUGGUGGCUCACCCCUAUGACCGCAGCACUAUGAGGGGCUGAGGUAGGAGGAUUGCUGUGAGUUUGAGGUCAGUCCGGGUUACAGAGUGAGUUCAUGGCCAUCCUGAACUGUAUGGCAAAACUCUGUCUCAGACAGACAAAAAGAGAAUCAUAUGUCAUGUGAUAACAGCAAUGAAACAGAGCACUUAAAUAGUAAUUUACACUUUUCAAUAGAAAUAUUCAUAUAUAAUUUUACAAUUACUCAAAUUUAAUUCAUUGCACAACUUCCAAAUGAUGCCAGCUUUUACUCCCACUUCAUGCCUUAGAAAACUGAAGCAGAAAGAUGGAACACAUUUCCCAGAAUCACGUAACUUUAUAACAGCAGACUAAAGACUUAGGUUAAAGUUUUUUGAUUCUUGUUCCCAUGUUCUUUUUUUUUCACGUUUGAAUUGUUUUCAGUUUUUAUUUUUUAUUAACAUAUGUUUGCAGUACAUUGCUACAUUCCUGUGGGGAACUGGUACAUGUACAUAAUGUACUUCUAUUCAUUUUUCAUCCCUUUCUCCUCUCCCCAGAUACUAUUUCAAUUAAAUAUAUUUUUAAAAUUCCUACACAUAGUAGGCAUUGCAUAAACAUUGAUCUUCUCAGCCCGUGUGCUGCUCUUACGUUAGCUGCUUUCUUUGCACAGGAGGUGAUCUGUUAAUACAGCUUCUUUUCAGCUCCCAUUGCUAUGGUAAUGCAAAUUAUUUAACAUCUUGCUCUAAAGGCCAAGAUCCCAACUGAGAUCAUCCAUGGGGCUCCUGCUAUAAUGAGCAAGACUCCUGGUGGUGCGAAGAGAUAUAUUUUGAUCCCUGUCUACAGUAUUACAAAGUUGUUUUGCCAUUUGUAAUUUUCCUUUAUUGGGAAACAAGAUAAAUGCACCCAAGUCUGUUCAUGCUGCUUAAACUUCCACAUUUUUUCAAGUUCUUCUUGGGAAAUGUUAGUCUAAAAUCAGCAUUUAGAACAGCAGGGUCAAUUGUUAUAGAUAUAUUCUGAGGGAAACAGAGAAUAUCUGAUGCUUUAAAAGGGCGUUUUCCACACAUAUACUACUGAGGACUAACAGCUUUGGAAAAAAUCAGUGCUCCCAUACUGUGGAUAUCAUUCCACAUUUAAACAGUCCUGCAUUUAUUCAGUAGAUAUGACCCACCCAAAUGUGCCAUUUAUCAACAAUAUAGGACACUUGAGUUACUUUAUUACUAAAAUUUAGAAAAUAGGUAAUACUCUUCCUGUGUUUCUAGACCAUCUUCAUGAGUUGUUCUUCCAUGGGAGUAUGUGUCCUCCUGGACCUGGUAAAUCUUUUUCUCUUUGUUUGCUUCUUUUUCACCCCUUCUCCUUUUAUUCAGGAUCUUGAGAGCUGACACCUGCUUUUUGCAAGUCAUCUCCGGGUACCAUUCCUGUAUUUUAUUCCUCCAGAAUUCCUCCUUAUUUUACUCUUCUAGCCUUCCAACACUACAGUGGGACAAUUCCUUCUGUUUAAAAAUCUUAAAACAAUUUCUUUUUUUCUAGUUGAACCUAACUGAUAGAAGUUACAAAUUAAUGUUGAUUUUAAAAAGUCAAGUACUUUGAAGGAAAUAAGCAGAGUAAAAUGAAACUUUUUAAAUUAUAUCAAAGCCUCUUAAGAGCAAAGCUGUUUGAGCUUCAGUUUGGAUUAUGAGAGAAGGUAAAAAUAAGAUCUUAAAGAUGUGAGUUUCAGGGAGAGGAGUUCUUCUGUGGAUGAUUAGUGGGAGCUACGGUUGGAGGCAUGGCAUCAGAGCUGAAGAAAGGUAGGUAGAAGUAUUAUAGGCAGCCAGAUGAGUGGAUGCUUGAGGGAGUCAAUGCAGAAGACUCUUUACAACUGUGGAUGGAAGUAAAUUCCUUGCAGGCCAGACUUCAACACAAAGAUGAAAAGACUACAUCUACUUAAUGAUAACGAUUGAUGUUUUAAAUAGGCAUGGAUCAGCUAGGAUCAGCUAGGAGGGACCAAGACCUUGACCCACCUCUUCCAGGAAGGGGCUUCCAUGGAGCUUUCUCCAUGCACACUUGCUAUACCACUUGCUUCCUCACUGACCAAUAUUACCUGAGUGACUAUAUUUGUAAUCUUACCAGUUGAUCAUAGUUUUGUCCCAUAUUAUACCUGCCUCAUGAUUUUUCCAUUGGAUCAAUAUUACAUACGUGUCUCUACUUGUAAUUUUAUUGGUUGAUUAUAGUUUUGUCCUACCUUAUACCCACUUCAUGAUUUCAUGCCCACCUCCUGGCUUUUGCUCUAUAAAGCCUCCCCUGUAAGUGAAGUCCACAGGAACCCACUUGUCAGGUCUCCUUCUGUUUCUCUUAGACAAAAGCUGUCUUUCCUUCAAUAAAUGUUUUCCUGACCUGAGAAAGAUCCUCCCCAAUAAACGUGGUGCCCUCUACAGACAACAGGAAUCCAUGCUGCCCUCAGCAAACAAGAGUUAAUGGCUUUAAGGAAAUUUAGGACUGGACAUGCCGUCUCCCUGAUGUGCUGGACCCAAUUUUAUAUGCACAGCUGUGAUGAGUGUCCUUGCAGUUUUGACCUCAAACAUUUCUUUCAGAUGCUUUGAGACUGCAACUCUCAACUCCAAAUCCUAUAUAUACAUAGCUUCCCUGCACUGAUAUCACUCUGAUUUCAGCCUGCCUGAAUGUAGAUAAAAUUUCAUCUAGUCUUUCCCACAGUCUUGGUCUCCAGAUGUUUCUCUAUGUGCCAUUAAUUAGUGUUUGGUGCUGAAACAGAUAUAAUAGGAGGUCUCUUUCGAGAGGGUACUAUACCCUAUCAUGAGCCUUUCUCCACGGAGGUCACUCUGUGACACUGACUCCAGACUUUCCUCCAGUGCUCCAGGCAGCUCCCAGGAUCUUGCACACUGACCACUUCUGAGCUGGUAAGCUGUCUCCCCUUCCCAGGCUUCUAACACUGGGUUCCUUUAAGACCACCGUCUCCCCACUGCUGCUGCCUGCUGCCCUCUUAGCUCUGGACAUUUAACUCUUUCAGUAGCUAAUCUUUCUCUCUCUCUGCUGUGACUGCUCUCUAGUUCCACUCUCUUCCCUCACCCUCCUGGGACAGAGAAAAGCUUGCUCCUCUGUGCCUUUAAACCUACCACUAGUCCCUGACACUUCUUGGGGAGGCUGACUCCGCCCACCCCCACCCCCUCACUGAUAAAUUAGGGCUGCAAACCCUUUGCUCAUUCACCCUGGCUCCCUUAUGGCCUUGAGCCUUGUUCAGUACAGGCCCCAGUGCUGCCAUUAUUUUGCCACACCAGGUGUGACAGCUCCCUCUCUUUGUUCCCUCCCUUAGCCUGUCUCAGAAAGUGCUCUAAACUAUAUAACUGCAUGUAUAUUUAAAUGUAUAAGAUAGAAAAUGAUAUCACAGAGUUUUAUUGGAUCAUUGAACAGAACUGUUUGCAGUAUCAUUGUUGGAAUGUCCACUCUACAAGCUUUAAUUUUGUGACUUAAACAAUUAUUUCUAAGAUGGCAAUAUGUAAUCCAUUAA